rnacentral:rRNA from 1 species
AACGCUAGCUACAGGCUUAACACAUGCAAGUCGAGGGGUAACAGGAGGGAAGCUUGCUUUCCUUGCUGACGACCGGCGAAUGGGUGAGUAACGCGUAUCCAACCUGCCGCACGCCCGGGAACAGCCCUUGGAAACGAGGAUUAAAUCCCGAUACCUUGCCUUCCCGCAUGGAAGGGUAAGAAAACGAGGCAUGCGAUGGGGAUGCGUCUGAUUAGCUUGUUGGCGGGGUAACGGCCCACCAAGGCGACGAUCAGUAGGGGUUCUGAGAGGAAGGUCCCCCACAUUGGAACUGAGACACGGUCCAAACUCCUACGGGAGGCAGCAGUGAGGAAUAUUGGUCAAUGGGCGAGAGCCUGAACCAGCCAAGUAGCGUGAGGGAUGACUGCCCUAUGGGUUGUAAACUUCUUUUGUCCAGGAAUAAAAAAGCCCUCGCGCAGGGUUCUUGCAGGUACUGGUUGAAUAAGGACCGGCUAAUUCCGUGCCAGCAGCCGCGGUAAUACGGAAGGUCCGAGCGUUAUCCGGAUUUAUUGGGUUUAAAGGGUGCGUAGGCGGGAAGUCAAGUCAGCCGUAAAAUCGCCGGGCUCAACCCGGUCCCGCGGUUGAAACUGUCUUCCUUGAGUACACUAGAGGGCGAUGGAAUUCGUGGUGUAGCGGUGAAAUGCAUAGAUAUCACGAAGAACUCCGAUUG